UACAGAGGUCCCAAGCGUUGUUCGGAUUCACUGGGCGUAAAGGGUGCGCAGGUGGGUUUGCAAGUUCGAUGUGAAAGCCCCGGGCUUAACCCGGGAAUGGCAUUGGAUACUGCAGAUCUGGAGGAUCGGAGGGGGGACUGGAAUUCUUGGUGUAGCAGUGAAAUGCGUAGAUAUCAAGAGGAACACCAGUGGCGAAGGCGAGUCCCUGGACGAUACCUGACACUGAGGCACGAAAGCUAGGGGAGCAGACAGG
rnacentral:rRNA from 1 species